CUCAAGUCCUGAAAGGAUUUAAACAGAUCUUAAACCCUAAACCUGCGAAUAUUCUUACUGGUCCCAGUGGGGAAACAAUACAGAAUCCAUCCUUGCUGGAGGAAGGACAUGGCCAGCUCUUGGUGUAACACCUAAGUCAAGAAGGUUCUCGCUAUAUCUGGAACUCUGAGAAGUUUUCACAAUAUAACCAGGUGACAUCCAGAGCUCUCUUCUGUGAGUGUAUUCCCUGCUGAUGACUUUACUGGUCUGCUCAUCUACAAAGUGGAACACCAUCAAUAUUCAACCGUUGUCCUAAGAUGCUGUGAUAGCUCAUAGCAUCAUCAAGUCUCUGAAAGUGUGGUGCUGUUGUGUCCCUUUUUGGCUGCAUCACUUUUGAAGAGCCAGAAUCCUGCACUGCCUGUCAGCUGAACUACAUUUCCACAAGUUUGCACAUUCCCAGCCCAUCACAAGUCUUAGGUUUGUGAGCAUUGCUCCACUUUCUAGUCUGUAUGUCAUCCCACUCACCACUGAGUGCACUCAUCGGACAGAGGAUGUCUCCCUCACGUGAUGUAACUCUGAGUAUACGGCUGAUUUACAAGGAGAUGGAUGCUGCAGUGGAGUCCUUGAUAAAGACCCUGGAAGGAUGCUUCAUAUUGUUUAGCUGUGGACUGAUUUGGAGGUAAAAAAGUGGUGCACCCAAAACCGACUGUGAUUGCUUUCUCUGGAUCUGCCUCGUUCUGGGACACAAUCUCUCCUGUGAGGCCCUCGUCCUGCUGGGUUAUCACUCUUGGUUCCUGGCUCUCGGUGCCUCAGGAAGCAGCUGGUCCACUCUGCUCCCUGACAAAGGCAUUUUAUAGCUCAUGCUGUUGCCUGACAGCUGCCUACUACAACAUGGAACAGGACCAACUUUUCACAAAGACUCCCAAACCCCCAUUAGGAGGUGAGCAAAUUUUCAUUACUUGAGAUGUGGCUGUAAGACAGUGCACCUGAAAAGCUUUUAGGAGAUAUUCUUGAAACAUGAAGUAGAAAAAAAUAGCAACAGGGUUUAUUUAUUUUUGUUUGGUUCUUUGUCUCGCUCCAAUUGCCUUGGGGACCCAGUUUGCAGUUUGGCUCACAAUGAGUAAAAGCAGCUCAGUGAGGGUGCAAACCAACUGGUAAGAAGAUGGAAGUGAGCAGUGAGGGAACAUGAACCAGCUUUGGAGCUGCAGACAAUGCCACAUGCAGCUGUGAUUUUUGCUUAGAUGUAGCUGAUACAGCUAUCACAUCUGAAACACUGGUCACGGGGAGGAUUACUGAAUACCCAGCAGGUAAAGAAUCAAAACACCAACAAAAAUCUACCAGGUUUAACUCCUAAGGCUUGCUGAUUUUGACUGCAGUUGCUAAGAUGUGAUGUAAAGUUAUCCAAGAGCUAUUAGCAGUGAGGUAAGGCAGCACUGUGCUUCAGCACACCCUCACCUCACCUGAUUCUUGGGCUGUUUUCUAAUAAGUGCACAAAAUGGUGAUGAUUUUAAUCUGGGAUAUUAAUGCAUUAACUUGAUGCCACUCUUCUAUCCCAACAACCUUUUCUACUUUCUUGGGUUGUGUCCGCUCCGCUGUCUCUCCAUUUCAAACACACAGAAGUACAGUAAUUCACACAAUCUUCCUGCUCACUCUGUUAACACACAUGUAUGCUUCCUGCUUAAAACUGCAACACAGGCUCAUCUGUUUCAUGAGACAGAGCUCCUUUAAAAAUAGCAGCCUGUGUCUGGGAACAGUGCCUGCCUUCCCCUGCCAUAGGAUACUCAUGAACGUUGCAUUUCCCUAUUGUGUUAACAUGAGGCUUUUGACCCUGGAGGUGCAGUCAGACUUUAAAUUCUUCACUGAAAUCCCAGCAGCAGCACAACCCUCAUGGUGAGUGCUUUAGUCUUUUAUUUUUAGAAAGGCUGCUUUGAAGAUUCUGUGCCCGUCCUCCUGUG
ensembl:lncRNA